rnacentral:rRNA from 1 species
GAUGAACGCUGGCGGCGUGCUUAACACAUGCAAGUCGAACGGAAAGGCUCCUGCUUGCAGGGGUACUCGAGUGGCGAACGGGUGAGUAACACGUGGGUGAUCUGCCCUGCACUUCGGGAUAAGCCUGGGAAACUGGGUCUAAUACCGGAUAGGACGAUGGUUUGGAUGCCAUUGUGGAAAGUUUUUCGGUGUGGGAUGAGCUCGCGGCCUAUCAGCUUGUUGGUGGGGUAAUGGCCUACCAAGGCGUCGACGGGUAGCCGGCCUGAGAGGGUGUACGGCCACAUUGGGACUGCGAUACGGCCCAGACUCCUACGUGAGGCAGCAGUGGGGAACAUUGCACAAUGGGCGCAAGCCUGAUGCAGCGACGCCGCGUGGGGGAUGACGGCCUUCGGGUUGUAAACUCCUUUCGCUAGGGACGAAGCGCAAGUGACGGUACCUGGAGAAGAAGCACCGGCUAACUACGUG